ensembl:lncRNA
ACAGCCUGAAUGAGAGGGAAGCAAGGAGAUGACGCCCUUAGCUCUGAAAAGACAUUUUCCCAAGCAGCUGGCAAGGCCCCCGCCUGCUCCGGGGGAUUUUCCAAUCUGCUCCAGAAAGGGCCAGCUCCGAGCAUGUUGGGAGCAUUCAGGGACAUGGCGAGGCCCACUUCGCGAGCCCUGGCCGUGAGCACAGCGCGUCUGCAGGUCCUUUCUCCUGCUUUUCCCUUUCCCCUCCUGCUUUUCCUGGCGACAGGGUGAUCAGAGACGGGGAGCGAAGAGCCUCCCAGAGCCCUUCUCCCCUUGGCAGCCUUCGGCCGCAUCCGAGACCUCGGCCCAGCAAACGCAGCCUCCCUGCGUGGCACAGAGCUCUACCGGAAAGACGCAGGUUUGGGAGAGAAGCAAGAUCUUCCGUCCCAAGUGUGGAACGACUGUGCUCAGAACUGGGAACCCAGGACACAGAAUGAAUGGCUGACCUGCCUUGUACGCUGUGGACAUUUGCUCUCGAGGCCCGGGAUGUCCGCUGCCCAGCAGCUGCAAGCCGGCCCGCCUGUGGUUCCCUAAAGAUCAGGACGGAUGGGGAAAAGCGCCCUUCUUAGGUGAAAGCAUCAGCUCGUUUCUACGUGUCAGCACUGGGAGAAGAUGUGGGGUCAGUGUCUUCACCAGGGAGCUGGUGCGAGGAUCAGCCCGUGAGAUGACAGACUCGGCGCCCUGCCAGAUGCUGUAAAGCGUGGAACUGUGUCAUCGAUGGUUAAGGAGAAAACAGGGUUUUGCAAAGGCACAACUAGAAGGAUGAAGGUGGCUGAAUAUUUGUCUUCUGAGUGAUACGGACUUUCCUUGAAGAAUGGCGUAUUUACGAGUGUCAGCCUGCCACCCGUUACUGCGAUUAGGUUCUUCAGCAACCGAGGAGGAAUGAGGAGGACUCAGACGGAUUUCGAAGAAUGGCAUGACUAAUGUACAAACAAGAGUGAAAGGGAGUGUUGGAAAAACUCAGGGACACUGAAGACUGAAGUGGGUUGAAAACAAAUCAGAACGUGAGUUCUCCCACUUGAGUGCGAGCAGAAUUUGUUUUUCAGAAGUAAUUUUUAAGGAUUCACUUGGAGAAGGAAGAGGGAUUUUCCUUUACGCUUUUGGAUCGGAUGGCUCUGUGUUGCGAACGGUUUUCUCGCGGCCUUCAAGAAUUUGUUUGGUACCCACUUGUUCAAAACCCAAGGGCAAACAGCCAAGUCCCCUUAAAGCUGUCCGCCCGGGACUACGGGAGUCAGUUUGAAACGUCUUCGUUUUAAGAAGGUGGCAGAAUUACAUAAUUAUUCACAGCUCAUAAGAAAUUAAAAUACCUCUUCCAAAUAUGAAGUCGCGAGAUAACACAAACCACAAGUCCUAGACUCUCGGAGGGCGUGUGCCUCGUUUGUGCUCCCACACACAAACCCACAGCCGACCGUCUGCGCUGAGAGCACGUGGCCCCACUGAGAGCACGUGGCCACGCUGACCUCGCUUCCCUCGUGUUCCUCCGCACACAGCAGGGCUCUUGCCCAGGGCCUCCCUUGGCGACGCCGAGGGACCGAAGAUGCCAAAUGCUGGAGAGGCGGGAGGUCACCACAAGGCACCUGGGACCACAGACGCACUCUCUUCCACUCAUGGCCAGGGUGCACGAGGAAUUUGACCCCUCCAGGGACUUCGUAUCAGUGGAAUCCUAAGAUGUCCUUUUGUGUCUGGCUUAUUUCAGCGAGUAUGGUGUCUUCAAGGUACGUGUGUCAGAAUCACCUUCCUUUUUAAGUUCAAGCUGAAUAACAUUCCAUCGUAGGAAUAGCCCAGCUUGUUUAUUCAUUCGUCCGUUGAUGGCCAUUUCGGCUGUUUCCGUCUCGUGGCUGUUCUGAGGCACGCGGCCGUGCACGUGUUGUCCAGUUCUUCUUCGAGUCCUGCUGUCGGUUCUUUCAGACGUUUCUGCAGCGGUUGCACCCUUUCGCAUUCCUGCCAGCCGGGCAGAGGUCCCACUUCUGCACGUGCUCACCAGCACUUGUUAUUUGAUGUAUUCUGGUAGUCCCAUUGCUGUGACCGUGAGACCGUCACACAGACGCAGUCUCUAAACUUCCCUCUGCGAGCACGAGAAGCAGCCCCUUGGUCAGGCAGGGCCGGGGGUGGGGCGGGACGGGGCGGGACGGGGUACUCGUCAGAAGCUGGGUCCAGCGCCUGCAAAUCACCUUUGAUUUAUAGCUCUGCAAAUCCCCGUGGCCCAUCGCAGUGUCCAGCCGGCCCGGGGUCUUCGUGAGUGUUGCUUGGUUGCGAGGCAUGGCUGCGUCACCAGUGGACAGCUUUGGGGACUGUGCGAUUCGGCCUGUGGCUGCAGCUCAGGUCGUGGGUGGGGAAGGGGUGGCAGGAGGGGGCUGGAGUGUCUCUUGGGGCCACACUUCCCUGGCCUUCAGCCUGAAGCUCAGGAGUCGGAUAUUUCUCCCAGGAGCUAAGAGAAGAUUUUACGUCGGGGACAAUCUGGCUAGACACGUAUGGUUCGGAAGUCAGGCUGCCCACAGCCGCGUGCAGGGUACGGGAGAAGAAGAGACUCUGGGAGGCCAGUGUGGACACGGCAGUGGUGGAUCCGUCUGCCAUGAGGCACUGAGCUGGACGAUGGCAUCUGUUAGCUGUGCCUCCUUGCCAGCCCCCAGGGGCCACACGUCCUUAUGCACAACAGGUGCUGGGGACGUAGUCCCCAUUUGGAAACUCACAGAUGAGGCGGAAAUAAGACUACCACGGGGAAGGGGAGAGGAGCUAGGCGCAUUCUGGGCAGAAAUCUUCAGUUUCUGGAAGCUGUGAAGGUGAUAACAGGAACAUCUGAAGACGCAGAAGCUGCUCAUCUUAGUAGCUUGGCCAACAAGAAGGACGGGGUUAAAUUCCCUCCCGAGAAAAGUGUGUUCACCGAGCUUCGCGUUUCCCUCCGUCCUUUCCCCCUUGCCUUCCUGCUAUGGACACGACAGCGUGACGCUGCAGAAAGGAUGAAGUCCAGAAAACAGAAGACUUCUGUUUGUUUUUCACUGUGGCGCUGAUGGCUUCCUCUGUGCUCAGAUUUGGGUCCGCCUCUGGGUAGUUGGCAAAGCGAGAUGUGCCAUUUGUCAUUAAAAAAAUAAAAACAUUCAAAGU